rnacentral:rRNA from 1 species
CACGUAGGGCGCAAGCGUUGUCCGGAAUUAUUGGGCGUAAAGAGCUCGUAGGUGGUUUGUUACGUCUGCUGUGAAAACCUAGGGCUUAACCCUGGGCUUGCAGUGGAUACGGGCAGACUAGAGGUAGGUAGGGGAGAAUGGAAUUCCUGGUGUAGCGGUGAAAUGCGCAGAUAUCAGGAGGAACACCAGUGGCGAAGGCGGCUCUCUGGGCAGAUACUGACACUGAGACGCGAAAGCGUGGGUAGCAAACAGG